rnacentral:rRNA from 1 species
UUAAAUGGCUGCAGUAUAAUUGACUGUACAAAGGUAGCAUAAUCAAUUGAUUUUUAAAUGAAAUCUGGAAUGAAAGGAUUAAUGAAAUAUAUACUGUCUCAUAUUUAUUAUAUAAAUUUAAAUUUUUAAUAAAAAUGUUAAAAUAAAUUUAUGGGACGAUAAGACCCUAUAGAAUUUUAUAUUUUAUUAUUUUAUUUUAUGAAAAUUUUAAAUUUAAUAAAAUAUUUAGUUGGGAGAAUUAUUAAAUUUAAAAAAUUUUAAUUAAUAAUAACUUAAAUUAAAGAAAAAAUAAUGAUUUUUAAUUUAAAAAUAUUAGAAUAAAUUACCUUAGGGAUAACAGCGUUAUAUUUUUUUAUAGGUCAUAUAGAAAAAAAUGAUUGCGACCUCGAUGUUGAAUUAAGAUAAAUUUUAAAUGCA